rnacentral:rRNA from 1 species
UACGUAGGCAGCGAGCGUUGUUCGGAAUUACUGGGCGUAAAGAGUGUGUAGGCGGUGCUCUAAGUUCGGUGUGAAAUCUCCUGGCUCAACUGGGAGGGUGCGCCGGAAACUGGAGUGCUUGAGCGUGGGAGAGGAAAGCGGAAUUCCUGGUGUAGCGGUGAAAUGCGUAGAUAUCAGGAGGAACACCGAUGGCGAAGGCAGCUCGCUGGGACGGUACUGGACGCUGAGGCGCGAAAGCGUGGGGAGCAAACAGG